GGUGUGGGGGUGGGGGGCGGGUAUUACACACGUGCGUAAUGGGUGUGCGAAAACGAAAAACGUCCCUAGUUGUGGCCUGCGCUUGGAACAUCUGGCUGAACGCUCCUCUUCCUAACGGUGUGCCCUCAGGCGAGCUCUCUGCCCGGCUCAGGACCCGCUUUCCUUCAGGGGUAAAAUGAGAGCUGACCUCCAAGCAGCACCGUUGUAAACCUGUCUCAUGCACUUGUCCAGAGGCGGUAUAUCCAGCAGAUCCAUGCCCUGUCCUACCCAGGCCGGCAGCUGUCCUGUAACUAUUCACAGACACGUGCACGAACGUGGACACGCCUCCUCCUGUGGAGCCACAAAAGCAAGGAGGAGAUUGUGCAAGCAUUUCCCCCAGGUCAGCCUCCUCCUGCGCUCUUGAAUAGCUGCUUUGUACUAUAUCUCACAGGGUUUUGACCUUGGGCUGUGAGUUGCAUACGAACUAGAAAUGUCUGGUUUCUCUCUCUCCUUCUUAAAUUAAUUGCCCUUUCCCGGUGAAACUCCUUUUGCUUUGGCGGUUUUAACUUAAUUUUGCCUUCCAGCGCAUCUUUCUUUAUGCAAUACCGCCGCCUGGUGGUUACAACUGGGAAUGGCGUCAAGGCUGGAAGUAUUGAUACUAAUGAACGAUGUUAAGUCCGCAGGAACCAAAUCAAAAGAGGACACAAGAUGUGACUACAUCUUCUAUAACAGAGAUAGGAAGUCAAAGUAGGAGAAAGAAAAAGAGGAAGAAAGAUACUGAUAGAGAACAAGUACACGGAACCCUCUGAAAAACGAACCAACUGACUGCAGUUAAUCUUUCGGGGAGUUGGCAAGCCAGAUAAAGUACAAAACUUCAGACUAAGGAAAGAAUGGAUGCGGCUUCUUAUAUAUGCGUGUGUGUUUAAUGAAGGCAAUCUGGUAGUAAUGUGCUUAAUCUUAGGAAUGCAAAUUAUAUCAGAAAAAGAGAAAGCAAACCCACGUUCUUAACUCAGGCCUGGCCUAAACAUAAUCUUCAAAGAAAAACAACUGUCAUGUGGCUGGACAAGUUAAAAAGAACAUGAUGAAACCAAAGCAAAUAUUGGGAGAAUUUCCAGUGGAGUGAGCACUUCGAAAACAGAUUUGGGAUUACCUAUGCAAAAGUUAUACAAGGCAAGAGCUUGAAAUAAAGUGUGCAAACUUUA